rnacentral:rRNA from 1 species
UAUUAUACUAGAAUAAAAUAAAAUUAAAAUAUUAAAAGUUAAGAGCUUUAAAUUUAAAGAAUUUGGCAGUAAUUUAGUCUUUCCAGAGGAACCUGUUUUAUAAACGAUAAACCACGAAAAAUCUUACUUGUUAUAUUAAUAAAAUAAAUUUGUAUACCGUCAUUAUCAGAUAAUAUUUAGAGAUUGAUUAUUAAACCUUAAAUAAUAAAAAAAAUUAGAUCAUGGUGCAGUUGAUGAACAAGAAAAAAAUGGGUUACAAUUAAGUUAAUAUAAAUAUGGAAAAAAAUUUGAAAUAGUUUAAAGAAGGAGGAUUUGGUUGUAAUGAAAAAUUAAUAAGAUAAAAAGAAAUAAGCUCUAAAUUAU